rnacentral:siRNA from 1 species
GGAGGUGCGAAUGUGCUCCGG